UACGGAGGGAGCUAGCGUUGUUCGGAAUUAUCUGGGCGUAAAGCGGCACGUAGGCGGCUUUGUAAGUUAGAGGUGAAAGCCCGGGGACUCAACUCCGGAACUGCCUUUUAAGACUGCAUCGCUUGAAUCCAGGAGAGGUGAGUGGAAUUCCGAAGUGUAGAGGUGAAAUUCGUAGAUAUUCGGAAGAACACCAGUGGCGAAGGCGGGCUCACUGGACUGGUAUUGACGCUG
rnacentral:rRNA from 1 species